rnacentral:rRNA from 1 species
GUAGGCUGGCAAGCGUUGUUCGGAAUUAUUGGGCGUAAAGGGCGCGUAUGCGGUCUUGUAAGUCAGCUGUGAAAGCCCGGGGCUCAACCCCGGAGGGUCGGCUGAUACUGCAAGACUGGAGUACUGAAGAGGUAGCUGGAAUUCCCGGUGUAGCGGUGAAAUGCGUAAAUAUCGGGAGGAACACCUGAGGCGAAGGCGGGCUACUGGGCCGAUACUGACGCUGAGGCGCGAAAGCCAGGGGAGCAAACGGGAUUAGAUACCCCGGUAGUCCUGGCCCUAAACGAUGGAUACUUGGUGUGUCGGGUCUUCAAGUCCCGGCGUGCCGGAGCUAACGCGUUAAGUAUCCCGCCUGGGGAGUACGGUCGCAAGGCUG